rnacentral:rRNA from 1 species
AUUAGAGUUUGAUCCUGGCUCAGGAUGAACGCUAGCGGCAGGCUUAACACAUGCAAGUCGAGGGGUAUAGUUCUUCGGAACUAGAGACCGGCGCACGGGUGCGUAACGCGUAUGCAAUCUACCUUUCACAAAGGAAUAGCCCAGAGAAAUUUGGAUUAAUACCUUAUAGUAAUACGACUUGGCAUCAAGAUGUAUUUAAAGAUUUAUCGGUGAAAGAUGAGCAUGCGUCCCAUUAGCUAGUUGGUAAGGUAACGGCUUACCAAGGCAACGAUGGGUAGGGGUCCUGAGAGGGAGAUCCCCCACACUGGUACUGAGACACGGACCAGACUCCUACGGGAGGCAGCAGUGAGGAAUAUUGGACAAUGGGCGCAAGCCUGAUCCAGCCAUGCCGCGUGCAGGAUGACGGUCCUAUGGAUUGUAAACUGCUUUUAUACGAGAAGAAACACUCCGACGUGUCGGAGCUUGACGGUAUCGUAAGAAUAAGGAUCGGCUAACUCCGUGCCAGCAGCCGCGGUAAUACGGAGGAUCCAAGCGUUAUCCGGAAUCAUUGGGUUUAAAGGGUCCGUAGGCGGUCAGAUAAGUCAGUGGUGAAAGCCCAUCGCUCAACGGUGGAACGGCCAUUGAUACUGUCUGACUUGAAUUAUUAGGAAGUAACUAGAAUAUGUAGUGUAGCGGUGAAAUGCUUAGAGAUUACAUGGAAUACCAAUUGCGAAGGCAGGUUACUACUAAUAUAUUGACGCUGAUGGACGAAAGCGUGGGUAGCGAACAGGAUUAGAUACCCUGGUAGAAUCACUAGUGAAUUC